CUCGCAUCAAAUUAUUUACUUCGAUUUGUAGCUUAUUUAAAAUGAGAUCCCAUUCUUCCAGUCUGUGGCAUUGUCCCAAACUGCCCUAUCAAAGGUUCUAAAAUAUGCUUAGGGCAUCUCUAUUAAGAGGAUGAGGAGAAAGGAGGAGGGAGAAGAUGCUAACAACUAAAUGGUUCAAUAUGAUGCAGUAUUUCCAAUGGCGGGAGACAGAAACAAUGUCACAAAGUGGGAGAGGCACUAAGAAUGAGAUCUGGCACCACUUACUCUUGUUUCUAUACAAUCGAAGUACAACACUUCUCAAUUUUCUAGGUGUCUUUGGGGAGAGAUCUUAUCUCUCUUAAUGGUACCAACUCAGUAACCCAAACUGUUCACCAAUACUUCUUUUAAGUAGUUGUGAGGUAGGGAGUCUAAC
rnacentral:lncRNA from 1 species